rnacentral:lncRNA from 1 species
CCUUUAUAAUAUGGGAUUAUUUGCCUUAUUUUUACAGAGAGCAAGAAAGACUCAAAAUUUCCAUAAUAUAGGUUAUAUAUAUAAAUUUCAAAAAUUAGGUAACUGGCUAUUACCUAAUAAUUUGGAGAUCACACACACAUGCACUGCACGCACACACAAACCGGAUCUUGAUCGAUGAAGUUAAUUACAGCAUUAUUAACGCCACACUGAGGCAAGCCAUCAUGAAGAGGAGGGGACUUGGAAAAUAAUAAGAGCAGGGAAAUUUGGCUCUUAAUUUCUACGAGGUUAUAUGCACGAGAAUAAUAAUACAAACGAAUCUGCACACGCGAAAGAGAAAAAGAAGAAAGGAGAUUAAGAAUAAAAUCCAUCGUAUUUAAUUAAGCUUUAGGAGACCCCAAUGGUUU